UUUCUAAUCAGCGAAACUAAUCUCCCCGUGAAGAAGCGGGGAUAUUUAUAUAAGACGAGAAGACCCCAUGGAGCUUCAAACCCAAUUACACCCCCCCCCCCCCC
rnacentral:rRNA from 1 species